UAUUGUUUAUUUUUAACUGAAAAGAAAAACUAUGAAAAAUGAAUAUAUACCUUUUGCAUAAUGGUUAAAUAAUAGGAAUUUAAAUUUAUAUACCCCGAAAUUAGAAGAUCUAAUUUUACUAAAUUUAUUAGGAAAAUAAUGUUACAAAAUUAUAAAUAAGGAAAAUUAGGGGUGAAAGGCUUUUCAAUUCUAAUGAUAUCUGGAAUAAUUUUAAAUGUAUUUAGUACAGAAUAAAUUUGAUUAAAAAAAUGUUAAGGUUUUUUUAAUGAGAAUAAUAAUUUAAAAAAUUGUUUAAAAUCCUUAUUUUAGUAUUAUAAAAAAUUAUUUAUUUUUAUAUCUCUAAAAAAAUUAUAUUUAAAUUAUUUUAAAUUUAAUUAUGUUUAAAUUAGUAUUAAUUUUAUAUUAUAAUAAGGAACUCGGCUAAUUGUUCGUCUGUUUAUCAAAAACAUAGUCUUACGAUGUAAGGUUAAACCUGCCCAUUGAAUCUUUUUAACGGCCGCAGUACCUUGACUGUGCUAAGGUAGCAUAAUAAAUUGACCUUUAAUUGGGGCCUUGAAUGAAAGGAUUGAUAAUUUCUGUCUUUUAUAAAUAAUUAAAAUUUACUUAAAAGGUGAAAAUUCCUUUAAGUUAUAUAAAAGACGAGAAGACCCUAGGAGUUUACUAUUUUGUUGGGGCGACAAUGUAACAUAACUUACAUUAUUUAAGAUUGAACAAUAAUUUUAAUAAAAAACAAACUACCCUAGGGAUAACAGCAUAAUUUAAUAAGUUUGUGACCUCGAUGUUGGA
rnacentral:rRNA from 1 species